rnacentral:lncRNA from 1 species
AGAGUGUGAUGUUCCCCUUCUUGUGUCCAUGUGAUCUCAUUGUUCAAUUCCCACCUAAGAGUGAGAAUAUGCGGUGUUUGGUUUUUUGUUCUUGCGAUAGUUUACUGAGAAUGAUGAUUUCCAAUUUCAUCCAUAUCGCUACAAAGGACAUGAACUCAUCAUUUUUUAUGGCUGCAUAGUAUUCCAUGGUGUAUAUGUGCCACAUUUUCUUAAUCCAGUCUAUCGCUGCUAUAAAGACACAUGCACACGUAUGUUUAUUGUGGCAUUAUUCACAAUAGCAAAGACUUGGAACCAACCCAAAUGUCCAACAAUGAGAGACUGGAUUAAGAAUUAUGUAUUCUGGAUACUGGACCCUUAUCAGAUGUAUUUGCAAAUGUUUCCCAUUGUGUAAGUUUUUACUUUCUUUGCAGUGUCCUUUGAUGUAAAAAUAGUUUAAACUUUUGAUGGAGACCAAUUUAUCUGUUUUUUCUUUGAUUGCUUAUGCUUUUAGUGUCAUACCUGAGAAUCCAUGAUCAAAUUCAAGGUCAUUGGGAUUUACCCCUAUGUUUUCUGAGUUUAUCUGAUGACACUUUUGUGGAAUAAAAGUGCUCCGAUGUGAGAAUAUAUACAGUCAUGUGCAGUGGGCUUAUGGAGUGCUUGCUCCAGAAGCAUGAAAUCACACUCAACUUAGCAUCUAACCAGGAGAUAGCCCCAUGACUGUGGUCAUUGACCAUAUCACAUAAUUCAUGAUCCAGGAUCAACCAGCCUGAUAGUGUUGGAAUAGCCUGCUAAAAGCACAUUUGAAGCACCAGCACAGAGGCAAUACCCAUGACAGUGGGGUGCCAUUUUCCUGAAUGCCACAUGCACAUUGAAUUUGAAUUUGAAACUUCUAUAGAGUAUUGUGUUCCCAAAAGGAAAAACUAAUCGGCCUGGGAAAAGAGAGAUGAAAACAGGAGUGGCCUCAUUUACCAUCACUCCCAGUGACUCACUAUGGAUUUUGUGCUUCCCAUCCUUACAGUUUGGGGUUCUGCUUGAUUACCAUUCUGAUCUCCAAAGGAGGCUUAUUCUUAUCUGGGGCAGAGCAAGGGUUUUAUUGAACUACAAGCUGUGGCUGCUGUUGAGGCAUUUUGGAGUCUUUAAGCACCAAGCGGGCAGGAAGGAGUUGCCCUUUUUGCAGGGGUAAUUUAUCCUGAUAAAAAGGUAUGUAGGGCUGUUAUUACACAAUAGAAAUAGGAAUAUGUAUGAAACUCAGGUGAUCCACAUGGGCACCUUUGUGGUAAUUCCUUGUCCAAUUAUGACUGUGGAUGGACAAGUGCAGUGACCCCCACCUGAAAAAGUUACUGUUGUCUUGGUUUCAGACCCUUCAAGAAUGAGUGUGUGGGUCACACCACCAGAUAAUUCACCCAGACCUGCAAAGGUAGGUGAUAGCUGCUAAGACAAUUCAGAAUGGAUGGUUGGAGAGAGAGAUGAAUACCAGUUGUGGCCCCAAGACCAACUGCAGUGAUGUGGCUGAGUUUGACCCACUAACCUUUCUUUUUUAAAAGUCUUACCCUCAGGAUGAGAGGCCCACUGAGGAGUAGCUCCCAGGAUAUGCAUGGAGAAGUGGAUUGAUUUGGUACAAGGGGUGAAAAGUGGCAGUUAUGAAGUGUGCUAUUUAGAUCUCCAAAAGAUAACCAUCCACAGGGAGUGCAGUUAUCUGACAGCACCAGUUGCAGAUACCCUCAGGAUCUUCCUUCAGUGUCCACACCAAUGAGCUGAGGCCAUUCAUUCUGGGCAGUCCACAGGCAAUGACUGCACAUGGUGUUGGUAUCAGGGCUCAUCGUUUCCAGCUAGUGUGAGACUCCUCCUCUAUGGGCAGUCUUGGUGUUGGAGCUCACUGCUAAAUUGGUUGAGACUUUCUCAGAAUGAGCACAGUCUGAGGCUCUUCCUACCUAAUCUUACUUCUCCUUUCAUGUGAGUCAAACCUAUAUCAGGGGCAGAAAUAUUUUUUUUCCUGCUUGUGCUCUCUCUCCUCUUUAUAUUUUAUAGGCAUUAUCUCCAACAAACAUCUCGUACUUUGAACUGCAUCUUGGCUUCUUCUUUCCAAAGGACCUCCUCUCCCAGACUUGCAUCAUCAUCACUGGUAGAUGAUAACUUAGGCUUGAAUAAAUUAAGUGGCUCACCUCAGGUCCCACAAAUGUUAAAUGGACUAUUUUUUCACAAUACUUAUUCUCAUACUGAAUAAUAUCCAUGAAAUCACGCAAUUGAUGUGCAAGUUAUAAUUCCCUAAUUCACAUUGAAAGUAUAACUAACUAUUAAAUUUAAAAUAAAAAACAAGACUAAGUCUGGUCAACUUAGUUAUCCCACACUGGAAAAGUACAUAAUAUCACAUUUUUUUUUUGUUGAGAAUUUGUUUGUUCUAUGAAAGCAUAUUUGGCCAAGAGUUAAUUUUUGAGAUUUAGUCAAUGUAGUCAUUCUGAAGAAAUGGAGUACCUAUCGUCUUACUGAGAAACCAAUUUCAAUGCUUAUGGCUGCCAGCCUGUGUUAGACACAUCCAUCAAAACAGCAAAGGAGAUAGUCCAGUUUUAUGCCCUCCAAGCCAAUAUUCUAUUCCUAUGGCCUCUAAAAUGGAGUAUGUGUACUUAAAGAAAUAUGCAAGAUAAUACACAGAGUGACAAAGGAAAUAUUUUAACUAUUUUGUGAACAUAAAAUUAAACUUUUACUAAUAGGUUGGUGCAAAAGGAAUUGCAGCUUUUGCCAUUACAUUCAAUAGCAAAAACCACAAUUACUUUUGAACCAACCAAAUACUUAAAAUAGGCGGACACCAGUUCAUAUAUUCCACAUGCAUAAACUAUGUAUGCUCAAAAAUGGAGACAACUGUUAAAACCUGCUGUCUAAAAUUAACAAAACACAAGCCUUCCAUUCUAGUGGAGAAGAGGACAAAUAUAAUAAAUUAAUGCUAUAUGCAUAUACACUAUACAUAAAGUAUGUCCUAAGAGCUAUGGAGAAAAAUGUAGAAAAGGAGAACAGGGAGUGCUAGUGUGAGAUUCAAGAUUAAAUGUGGUUCUGAGGUAGGACCUCACUGUAAAGGUGAUGACUAAGCAAAGACCCAAAGAGGGUGAGAAAGCCAGCUCUGUAGGUAACUUGAGAAAAAAGUGCUCCAGAGAGAGGAACUAGGAUUGUCCUUUUGCUAGGGGCACAGCCUAAUAAAAGUAUAACUAACGUCCUUUUUUGUUACAAAGCUGGACAUUCAAAACAUUAAACAUAUUAUAACCAAUUUUUGCCAGAGGUUGCAAGUGUUUUUUGUGAAAAAUCAGACCUUGGCGAUGACCUUGAGCAGUAGGAUAUAAAUAACUCCCACAAGCUUAAUGUUCCAAUAAUGGAACACUAGGCAUAGAUAGGUUAAAGAUCAUUGCUAUCCCCAUACUCUGGACCCCUGCCUGAUGAAUACAUUAAGCUGACACCUGAGACACUGAUUCACCAAUUAACAAACUUCAGGCAUGUUGUUAAUGAUAGAACCUUCAUGACAGUGAUCCAGAGUUCCAGAUUCUAGAGUAUUCAGAGGUGGAAAUUCAUAGUCCAUGCUCAAGAUCGAAUGGCAUCUCUCAGACUGGAAGACCUUUCUGAAGUCAGUUCCAGACAUCCCUGGAAGGCUGGAUAAUUUGGGAAAAGGCUGACUCAAUGUAAGCCCAACUUAUACAUGGCACUCCAAGGGGAUGCUUCAGCCAGAAAGUAAAGGGCUGAAAAAGUAGAACAAUACAAAAGCCCUCGUGUGGUGGGAACUGUGGCCUCACUCUUACUUGUCCUUCCAUUCAAAACAGUUUGGCACCUUUCCAUGACGAGGAUCUCUACAGGACUCUGCCUGAGAAAUUUUAUACAUUCCUCCAAAGGUAAGUAUUCUCCAAAGGUAAGUAUUUGACUAUUAACACAAAGGCAAUGUGAUUAUUGCAUAAUGACACUAAAUAUUAUGUGGCUUUUCUGUUAGGUUUAUAAGUUUUCAAUGAUCAGUUCAAGAAAAUGCAGAUCAUAUAUAACUAAGGUUUUACACCAGUGGUUGACAAACUAUGGCCCACAGGCUAAACCCAGCCUCCCCUUGUUUUUAUAAAUAAGUUUUAUUAGAACAUAACCACACUCAUUCAUUUCUGUAUUGUGUAUAGCUGCUUUCACGCUAUACUAGCAGAACUGAAUAGUUGUGACAGAGACUGUAUGGACCGUGAAGCAUAAAUAUUUACCAUCUGGCCCAUUCUAAAAAAAGUGUGCCAAUUCCUGGUUUACACUAAAAUAUAGAGUUUAGUGGGAAGCCUAUUUGAAAUGUGUUUUUUUUAGGGGCUGUAAUUACCAAUUAAAAUUAAGGUUCAGGUGACUCAGCAACCAAACAAAAGGGAUACUAAUUUUUUAUGAACAAUAUAUUUGUAUUUUAUGGACAUAAAAGGAAACUUUCAGAAAGAAAAGGAGGAAAAUAAAGGGGGAAAGGGAAAAAGGGGAGAGAUGUAAAAUAAAAGGCCAUUUCUUUAAUAUCAUAAUAAAAUUAACAUUCCAUCCAUGAAAUAAACCAGAACUUGAGCUUAGAGUCUCUCUCUACUAAACACAUUACUUUUGGAAUGUUUUUGCAUCUGGACAAAAUGGUAUCCAAAUUGAUCAGACAUAUAAAGUAGACAAGUGAAACUAACAUACGACUGCCAGUUUCUAAGGAGUGUUACGGUCG